UUUGUUUAUUUAAGUACCCUUACUUUUGAAGUUAAUUUGAAAAUCCAGUUGGAGCCAUUAACAUCGCGUCUAAUAUUAAUUGAACGUUAUGAACUGAACCCAGAUCUGUCACAGGUUUCCAAAAGCCCCAAUUGAAGUUUGCGUUGAUUUGCAUCACGCGAAUGAAAUAAUGGAAAGUGGAGGGAUUGCACGUGCCUCAGACGCCUUCCCAGUUCUACCGGGACAGUUGAGCGGACACGGGUUCAGCCAGGAGGAUUGAGAUUUCUUGAUAGCUGCCGAAGGUAAUUUGACAGUCCAAGGAUAGCUGCUUCGCGAAUGCUUCUACUACCGUAUCGUAUUUGCGACCCGCUGACAAUAUCCGGCGAGAAACUCAGCGGGCUGUCAAUAUGAGGUAUGUUGCACGUCGGUCUUCGACGAGCUUGACAAGUACGGUACCUGUAUUGUGCUUAAACUCAGCAUUAGAGCUAGAACCGCUAGAAUGAUGGUAUAGUAGCACACUUGAUUGCGGAACACCGGCCGUGUUAAUAAUAUAAUCUAUAUAUUAAUACGUGAAGCAAACACUUUGUAUCCCUUUUUACGAAUAUUGCGCGGGCGGAGGAGUAUGAAAGGAGAAACCCCAUUUUGGGCCUAAGCGUUACACGAAUGGGAUAUGUACCAAAAAAUUCGUCUAUUUUGCUUGAUUAACCUAUUAAAAUCUUAGCUUCAUUGACAAUGGCCAAGUGUAGAAAAUAAGUUGAAUUCAAUUUUUUGUUUUAAACAAUCUUUGUAAACAUCUGCAACACUUAUUUCAAUAUACGUAACUAGCUCCACAAACGUGCGGAUUAGAAUUAGAACAUCCAUAAAAUAGGAUCGAUUUAGUGGAAAUCAAGUGUAAAAAAUAAUUAAUACUCUUUUGCUUAAGGAUAAAUGACUGUUUUUAUAGGUAUUUUAAUCAAUGUAAAUAGAGUAUGGCCAUCGAAUCGUGACACAACUAAUUACAAUGGCGGCAAUUCAAAAUAUCUACAACCGACAACAUUAAAUACAGCAUGAAAGGGUAGUUUUGCAUUUUUAUAUUAAUGUGACUAUGCCAUAGAAAAACACAAAUGUAUCAAAUCGUGUUAUGUUAUCUUUAAUGUUGCCAACUGAAGAUAUUUUGGAUUUUGCCGUAAAGCAGUAAUGCGUUUCAGUUUGAAGGGCGGGGCAGCCGUUGUAACUAUACUGAGACCUUAGAACUUAUAUCUCAAGGUGGGUGGCGCAUUUACGUCGUACAUGUCUAUGAGCUCCAGUAACCACUUAACAUCAGGUGGGCUGUGAGCUCGUCGAUGGGUAUCUAAGCAAUAAAAAAUAAAAAUAAAAAAAGGCAUGAAAUAAAAUGAAAUGAAAUGUGAUGAGAUAAUAUUAUGGGAGCACGUAAUGAUUUAUAUUUUAUAUAAAAAAGUUAUCAGUUAAAUAUAGUUUUUCAUAUAAAAAAGUUUUCAUUAAAAUUAAAAUAAGACUGACCUAAAGGUCUUAGUUACCAGGUCACAAAAUCCCUUAAAAAAAUCAUUUCGUGCGCAGCGCGUUUCGCAUUACGUUGUUUUUAAUUUUUGGCUUUCGUUCGUUUUCGUAAACAACCUAACGCACGAUUUCUCGUAACAGGUUCCAUUUUUAUUUUAAAGCAACCUGUUGCUGCAACAGGUUUCGUAAAAAAUUACUCAUCUUUAGUAGGAAACAGCCUCAAAAAUAUCGUUUUUAUUAAAAUAUCUCGAACAAUAAACAUAACCUAAAAUGUAAACAUUGUCUGAUUUUACCAAUUUGGCCAUUGCUGGGAGACCUGAAAAUUGGGCUCAUGAAACCUUCUUAGGUAUUGUAACUUAUGCCCAAAUUCUAGCACUGUAACGCCAGGCCCAAGUUUGUAUGGAUUUCGGGUUUGUCCUUUAUAAUUUAAAUUAAUUCAAGUCGAAUUUCGACUACUGCGGGACUACUAGUAAUAAUAAAUACGUGAAUCGGACUCACGACCAGUUCAGACAGAAUUAUUAUUCCGAACUGGAUGUUAGCAAAUCUACAAGGCUACCUGGAUAAGCCCGUGCUCGUCCUGGUAGAGCUGGAGAUGCAUUAUUCUAAUCCAUGGGCAGAUAUUUUAUAAGUAACUUCGUAAAUAUCCCUCACGGAGAUCUUCGACGACAACAAAAGAAUAACAAAGCUGUUGUAGAUAAGUUGUGAGUUUGUUUUGAGUACUGUUAGUAUUAAAUUAAUAGAUUUUUAGAUAGCUCCUUAGGUUAACCUAGUGUUUAUUUAUUUUUUGUUGCUCACGAGCUCAUAGCCCUCCUGAUGUUAAGUGGUUACUGGAGUCCAUAGACAUCUAGAACGUAAAUGCGCCACCCACCCUGCGAUAUAAGUUUUAAUGUCUCAGUAUAGUUACAACGGCUGCCCAACCCUUCAAACCGAAACGCAUUACUGCUUCACGGCAGAAAUAGGCAAGGCGGUGGUACCUACCCGUGCGGACUCACAAGAGGUCCCACCACUAAUUGUGUCUCUUUAUCUAUGUGAUGAUUUCAUAAGGAAUAACAACAUCGGAACUCCAAAAUUUAGAUAACUUAUGACGUGUUUGAGUCUUCACGCAGAAGUCCCAGAUUAUUUCUAUUCUGAACGAGUCAUGUGCCUGAUUCAAGAGUGAUAUAGAUAUUACAAUGCAAAUGAGAUGUCGAACGCGUUUCAAGCUUAACACAAAACAGCAAUUUUCAACGUGCAAACUGCAAUGAUACUUCAACGUUUGAAACGUCAGAUACAGAAGCUGCCUACGAAAAUAAGUACCAGAUGCAAGAUACAGGACGUAUGCUUCAAAUCACAGCUUGUUCAAGGCUCGGUUUUCCUGCGGGCGUUUGAGAAUUGAUAAUUAGUAAGGAGUUCUUCUUGUAAAUUUUUUACAGCCGCGAGUAGGCCUUAGCUUGGUCCAGUAAAGUUCUCCAUUGCGAUUUAUUCGUGAUUUUCCUUCUCUAAAUUAUCACCCCUAAGUUAUUUGUGUCCUGAUCGACGCCAUAUAACCAUCUGAGCUUGGGCCUGCCCUCCUAUUCAUUUCGGAUCCUCCCGAUUCACUAACGGUGCUUUUAGGUACCUCAAGCACCGGUCAUCGUUCUCGUCGAACCCGUCGCUUGCGACGUUCGUGUUAGCAACGUCGUCAGGUUUGAGCCCCGUGAGCUCACCUACUGGUUAAGGUCACGCUGAUAUAGCCUCUCAAGGCUCUCAGCUUAGGUAGGAAAAAACAAGCAUUCCUACUGCGGCUCUCCAGCCAGCCUUCCAGGAGGCGUUUGAGUACUCUAGCCUCGUCAAUUCGCGCAGAGCACGCCUUCCCAUCGCAGGCAUCUGAUCUUUGUGGUCUUCAUGACAUUCGGCUCAUCGUAAAUUUGGUUUAGCUCAGGAUUCCUUCUCCUUCUCCUUCCAUGACUAUUCCGAAGAUGCGCCUAAGUAUAUUAUUACGCCCAAAAACCAACAUGGAAUUAACAACUUACUUAGACGUUAUCAGAAGUAGUGCAACCGUUAUAUGUACAAUACAAUUGUGAUUUCUAACUCAUGUCUAUGUCGCCAAUGGGUUCCGGUAACUACUUACACGAUGGGCACCGAGAGCUAAUUUCAACACAUACGCUAUAAAAAAUAAAUCCGUGAAGAAAUCUGAUAAAGCUUUUUAAAAGCGUUCCACAUGAUGAAGACAAACACUAAAAAAUCCCUAGGUCCUUUAAAAAAAAUAGAAAUAUAUAGAUCAUAUAAGAUAUCCUUAGCUAAUGUAGACUUUAGAAAAUGUCUUCCUCGACUUAUUACCCCGCCGGCUCCGACACCGGGUCUCGACUGCAACGGCUGGCUGAACAAGCUUUAAGUGGUCUUGACGUUUAAUGCACGAGACCAUAAUGGAGCUUAUCGAUACCAUACAUAUUGAUGUACAGAAUAAACGUACGCCUUGAGAUAUCCAGACUAUUGACUGGUUAUUGCAUUCGUGUCUCAACAGCAUGAGGAAUUUAUUAGCGUACUAGCUGACCCGGCAGACUUCGUAGUGCCUCAAUCGAUAAAUAAAAGACCUAAACUUUUGUAUAAAAUAAACAUAAAUCAAAAGGAAUCCGUCUGACGGAGGACACAUCAAAGGAAAAACAUUUUUUUUACUUUUUACCUUUUAAACCUUCUCUGGACUUCCACAAAUAAUUCAAGACCAAAAUUAGCCAAAUCGGUCCAGCCGUUCUCGAGUUUUAGCGAGACUAAUGAACAGCAAUUCAUUUUUAUAUAUAAAGAUUUAGUGGUGGUAGUACCUCUUGUGAGUCCGCACGGGUAGGGACUACCACCCUGCCUAUUUCUGCCGUGAAGCAGUAAUGCGUUUCGGUGUGAAGGAUGGGGCAGCCGUUGUACUUUAAAAACUAAGACCUUAGAACUCAUAUCUCAUGGCAGGUGGCGGCAUUUACGUUGUAAAUGUCCUCAAGUGGGCCGUGAAUUCGUCCACCAAUCGAAGCAAUAUAAUAAAAUAAAAUAAAAAUCGACCUAUGGGCAAGUAAUUUGGUGAAGUAGGGCAUUGAUAAAAAAAAAAAUUAUCGUGAUGAGUCAUGCCAUUGUUCAAAUGACUAUCGCAGGCCCUCGUAUUUCUUGUUUACAACGGUCAUGUACUCUAGUUUAGAAGGUAGGUGGAGACUGUAGUUUUAAAUAAGAAUUUAAAUUUCGACUACGUGUUUUUUUUUUUUUUUUAUGAUUGAAGGAUUACUGGUGGCCCGGAGGCCUUUCCAGUUUCACCAGGACAGGUGGGCGAGCAAAGGCUCAGCCAGGAGGGGUGGGAUUUGCUAACAGCUACCCGAGCGCCUCCGAAGGAGACCUAACAACUCAAGAGUAGCUGCUUCGCGAAUGAAUCUACUACCGGAUCGGAAUCGCGACCCGCUGAGAAGAUCCGGCGAGAAACUCAGCGAGCUGAUUCAUGGGUUAGGUUGCACGGCGAACUCUUUGUCGAGUUCGACGAGUACGGUU